rnacentral:lncRNA from 1 species
UGGAACAUAAGCAUUAUCUGACUCUACCCUUUGCUGGCUGCACAUAUUCAAUUAAUCAACAAGUAUCUUAGAUUCUAUUUUACCCACUUUUCUCCCAUCAGUCAUUGUCACUAAAACAAUUAAAAGUCAACAUCAUGUCUUUAGAUUAUGACAAUAGCUUUCUAUGCUUAAUCUAUGUUUUACACUUCUGGCAAUAUGAUCUAUUUUAACAUGCAAAUUGUGUUACUCUUCUGCUUUAAAACCUGUCACUGCUUCCUAUUUACUUUAAGUAUAAACUUCCAACUCCUUAACAAGGUCAACAUGCCCUACCUGACCUGACCCCUAAUAACCUAUCUAGUUAGAACCAUUGGCCCUUGUCAACUUGCACACCCACACAUACCCAUGAUUACACACAGAUCUGUUGAGAUCUCAACCUGGAAUGCAUUGCUUCUACAUCUGGAUUUGAGAAGAUUUGGCAUUUUUUCCAAUAUUAAGUUUUCCAAGUCUUGAAUGUAAACUUUUAUUCCUUUUAUUCAUGUUCUCCUGGAACUCCAAAUGCAUGUUAGAAUUGUUCAUGGCCUUCCUAGUGUUCAUUUUGGUAUUUUUUAAAAUCCUUUUCCUUCUAUAUGUCAGCACUGUGGCAAGGUAGUCUUGAGGACUUGCUGUUGCUCGAAGGAAUCGACCUAAGUACCUCUGUCUGGGAAUAUUCUAUUAGAACAGUAAUCAGAAGCAAUCUAGUCAAGAUCACCAUUGCAACCGUGAUAUAGGACUAUAAUAUAGGCUGAAGCCGUAAGAGACCAGCAAAAAGUUUAGAGUGACCUGAGGAACAAGGGAUCUAUAAGAAGCAUUGAUAAACUCCAUCAAAGCUUUGAAUAGUUUACAGCAACCUUUUAUAUAUUUUAUAAAGAGCUAGGAGAGUGGAGUUUGAAGGCUUUGAACACAGAGAAAUGAUAAGGAGAAAGUGAAGUGGCAUGUGCCUAUAAUUCUAGCAACUCCAGAGGCUGAGACAGAAGGAUCAAAAGUUCAGGGCCAUCAUGGGCAACUUAGUGAGACCCUGACUCAAAAUAAAAAAAUAAAAAGAGAUGGGGGAUGUAGCCCAAUAGUAAAGUAGCCCUAACAAACAAACAAAAACUAUAAGAAGAAGAGGAGGAGGGAGAAGAGGGAGAAGAGAAAGAAAAAGCAAAAAAGAUGAAAAGAAAUGAAAAGGCUAAUUUAUUUUGAUUUGAUCACUACACAUUGUAUACGUGUAUUGAACUAUCAUAUUGUA